ensembl:piRNA 21ur-4461 ncRNA
UAUCAUGUCGAGUUCGUGCAU